UGCCUGUUGUGCAUAUAAAAGGGGGAAGUGUUUGGUUGCUUGGGAUGCAUGAUCCUUGAUACCGCCCCUUUGUGACAUGUGGCGCUUUGAAUGAGUGCUAACAGUUGGGUUAUCCUUCUGUCUGUCGUGUGCUGGCUGUUGGCCAGUUUUCAGAUAUGGGCCUGCAAGUAGCUGUAAUCCUGCGUGGUGAGCGACCAUGUGUAUUGCAGCAUUGUACUGUUUUCUUGCAGGAUUGAUUGCACGUCCAGGGGUUUCUAAUGAUCUUAAUUGAAGCGUAACGAACCUCAAGUAACUGACUGCACUUCUGCUCUGCUCUACUCCGUUUUGUUCUGUCUGGAAUUCAUCUGGGUCCGUCUGUUAUAUUUUGUUUUGUAUUGUUUGGUGUGUGGAUUUAGGUGGGAGGGGUUGGCCAUGGUACCUUGUACUGCGUGUCCACAUGGAGUGCUGUUUAAUAUUACUGAUUUUUCACGAGUGUGUGUCAUGGGUAUUGAGUGUGGGGUAGAAAUCUGAGGGUCUUUGCUGGCCACCUCCCCCUUUAUUUUCUCUUAUUGUAUUGUACUUGUUUUAUAAGUUACUGGUAAAGACGUGUGAUGUAUUGAGACCUGGUGUGAAGUGU